CGGAACAAAGCUGGAGCACGUGAUAAAUCAAUUAGCGCAAGAUGUCGCGGAGAAGCAUGCAGCCGUGGAAGGGGACUUGGUGGUUCAACCUUCUGUUGAUCAUUUCUGGUUCCAUAGACCUCGCAUUGUCCUGCUGCUCAUUCAUAUCCUCCUCUUCCAAAAAGCUUUUGAGCUCGCUUUCUUCUUCUUCAUUUGUGCAAGGGAUAAAAAUAGCUGAAUUGCCAAAAGAAAAUAAGUGCUUACGAUUACUUACUGGAGCUUCCAUGGGGAAAAAACCUGGCAGGUUCAAUAUAGUUUUGACUCGUGCAUAAUGGGACAAGUCGGUUUCAUAAUCCCAAGACUCGUGAUAGGGCAAUGUUGUCAGGGUGUUGGUUCACUUCAUGUGCAGCUACAGCACCUUGCCACUCUAUGCGAUAGUUACCCAGAUGGGAAGCUCAUUCAAGAAGGCUAUAUUUGAGGAACACAUACAUGAGGGGCUCAGCGUCUGGACCCAGCAUGCAAAAAUGAAGAAGAAUGCAAGAAUGACGGCGACUGGCACACGAUUGACCACCCUCCCCGUGGACCCCAAAGUGACUUAACAAUCCCUUGGCGAGCCAACGAAAGAAGCUGAGAUCCAAUAUGAUCCUUCCUUCCAGGGACCAAAAGAGAUGU